rnacentral:misc_RNA from 1 species
UUUUUCCGUACGAGUCGACCCCCCUUUGAAAAAUAAAACUAGUCACAAUUUUUAAUCGGUGAUAAUUUUUAAUUGUUGGUGACAUCGACGAUCAGAUUCUAGAGAAUAAAACGAUCCGAUCCUCGGCUCCGUAAAUGAGGAAACUUUUACCGAUUUAAUAAUAAAAAGUAGAUCGAUUUUGAAAUGGCUUCCGAAAGGCUGGUCAACGGUAUAUUGUCGGAUUUAUUGCCGGCGAUACCGACGGUUCAAGAUGUGAGUAAAUCGAUGCAAAAUUUCGGCUAUCCGGAUUACGCGGUAUUCAUUUUGAUGCUGGCCUCAUGCGGCGGAGUUGGAAUAUAUUUUGGUUUCGUGAAAAAAUCAAUGGGCGAGGACGAGUACCUGGUGGGUGGAAGAAACAUGAAGACGUUUCCGGUCAGUCUGAGUCUCAUAGCUAGUUUUAUUUCCGCUAUAUCGCUCCUCGGAACCCCCACUGAGGUAUACGUGUACGGAAUUACCUACCUUUUUGUUGGUUGCGGCGUUAUCCUCAUGGGGAUUGUCAUGACCACCGUUUAUUUGCCCGUUUUUCACGACCUGAAACUGACCAGCACAUACGAGUACCUCGAGAGGCGGUUCGACAAGAAGACUAGAUUAUUUGGCUCCGUUCUGUUCUCCAUCGGAAUUAUAACCUGGCUACCAAUCGUCAUCUACGUACCAGCCCUGGCUUUCAAUCAAGUUACCGGAAUAAACGUCCACAUAAUCACACCGUUCGUUUGCAUAGUUUGCAUAUUUUACACGUGCGUGGGUGGUCUGAAAGCAGUUGUUUGGACAGACGUAAUUCAAACCAUCGUGAUGCUCGGCGCGAUGUUGCUGGUGAUAAUCAAGGGUACGGUAGAUCUGGGUGGACCUUCUGUGGUCAUUCACAGGAACUUAGAGUCCGGAAGACUCGAAUUACCGGACACGGAUUGGAAUCCUUUGACGAGACACACUAUCUGGGCAUUGACUUUUGGCGCUUUUGGUCACUGGCUCCAGACGUCCGCCGUCAAUCAAAAUAUGAUCCAACGUUAUCUCUCUCUACCAACACUCGGCGCUGCGAGGCGGGCUGUCUGGAUCUUUAUAGUAGGUGCCCUCAGUCUCGUUGGCACCUGCGGCUACGCCGGGAUGCUCCUCUACGCGACCUACCAAGAAUGCGAUCCUCUAACAACAAAGCUUGCUCGUGCCAAGGACCAACUCCUCCCCUUAUUGGUGAUGGAUAUCCUGGGCGAUUAUCCCGGCUUACCUGGUUUAUUCGUAGCCGGCGUGUUCAGCGCUGCUCUCAGCUCGCUGUCAACGGCACUCAACUCGAUGGCGGCCGUGGUGAUAGAAGACUUCAUAAAACCAUUUAGAAAAAAUUCAUUCACUCCCAGAGUAGCGGAUAUCCUCAUGAAGGUCACCGUCGUUGCCAUCGGAACACUUUCCGCCGGCCUAGUCUUCGUUGUCGAAAGAAUGGGCAGUCACGUCCUCCAGUUAUCGAUGAGUCUGGGAUCGAUCACCAGUGGACCGUCUCUAGGAAUUUUCACAAUGGGUAUCCUCUUUCCUUGGACAAAUUCUAUGGGUGCUCUGAUCGGCGGUACAACUAGUCUGGGACUCAUGGCGUGGUUGAGUUUGACGGCACAGGCUGCAAUUUCGAGUGGUCAUAUAAGAUUCGAGGAGAAGCCGGUGAGCACGGAGGGGUGUACUUACACCUUCCAGAAAGUCGAAAACUUACUUUUAUUCUCGCCAUCGAACGCGAACUUUAAUGCAACGGACGAAGUUAUUGUGUCUGAACCGUGGGCAUUCUAUCGGUUGAGUUACCUCUGGUACACUAUGACCGGUACGAUCAUCUCUCUAGUCAUCGGAUGUUUAGUGAGCUUAAUUUCGUCGCAAGACACUAAAAAACUGGACCCACUUUUAGUCGCGCCGUUUGUCAGAAAAUUUUUGAAAACUCGUCCGCAAGAUCUGCAAGUAAAUGACGUUGUCAAGCUGGAACUGGAGCCAAGGGAACUUAACAGGUCCAGAUGCAUCCUUCAAGGAAAUGUAAGAAAAUUAACAUAACGCAAUUGAUGAAUAUAAUCGAUCAUUAUAAAGAAAUUGAAUGAGGAAAAAAAUCAUCAUUAAAAUUCAACUGACCCACCACCAUUCUACUAUGCUGGAGACACGCGGCUGGCGCAUUUAAAGCUCGGUUUGCAUCGAACCGAAAAAAAAAAGAGCCUUUCAAAGUUUUCCCACGAAAUUUCUAUAAUUAUCAUAUUUAACUAACCUGAUAAUUUCGUAAUCAGUAGAUAAUCAAAGAGGAAUCAAAUUGUGCUUCCGAUUAAGAUACUCGAGUGAUUUUUAAUUUUUAAUUAAUAGGCUAA